AAUGUCCGCGUCCGAAGCUAAAACAAACACGAUGUUCGACGGUUUAGUUUCGAUCGUUAGCAUCGGCGUUAAGAAGCUUUACCGACGUGUUAAUUUCGAUGUUUGCGCUUGUUUUCGACGUUCACGACAGUGUUCUUGCACACAAUCGGACGAAAUUUGAUUCCUAUCGGCUGAAUGGCUAUAGAUUAUAUUUGAGGUUUGAAUGUUG